UAGUCUGCGCCGUAAACGAUGGAUACUAACAGUUUGGGGAUUCGACCCCCUGAGUUGUAAAGCUAACGCGUUAAGUAUCCCGCCUGGGGAGUACGGUCGCAAGAUUAAAACUCAAAGGAAUAGACGGGGACCCGCACAAGCGGUGGAGCGUGUUCUUUAAUUGGAUGAUACGCCAAGAACCUUACCAAGGUUUGACAUCCUAGGAAAGCCUUCGAAAGAAGACUGUGCCUUUUGGAACCUAGUGACAGAUGAUGCAUGGCCGUCGUCAGCUCGUGUUGUGAAAUGUCGGGUUAAGCCCCUCAACGAGCGCAACCCUUAUGAUAUAGUUGUAUUUUUCUAUACAGACUGCCUCGGUAACGGGGAGGAAGGAGGGGAUGACGUCAGGUCCUUAUUUCUCUUACACCUUGGGCUAGAAACGCGCUACAAUGGCCGGUACAAUGGGGCAGCCAAGCAGCAAUGCGGAGCAAAUCCUAAAAAGCCGGUACCCAGUUCGGAUAAGAGGCU
rnacentral:rRNA from 1 species